UACGUAGGUGGCAAGCGUUGUCCGGAUUUAUUGGGCGUAAAGCGAGCGCAGGCGGUUCUUUAAGUCUGAUGUGAAAGCCCCCGGCUUAACCGGGGAGGGUCAUUGGAAACUGGAGAACUUGAGUGCAGAAGAGGAGAGUGGAAUUCCACGUGUAGCGGUGAAAUGCGUAGAUAUGUGGAGGAACACCAGUGGCGAAGGCGACUCUCUGGUCUGUAACUGACGCUGAGGCUCGAAAGCGUGGGGAGCAAACAGG
rnacentral:rRNA from 1 species